rnacentral:rRNA from 1 species
GAUGAACGCUAGCUACAGGCUUAACACAUGCAAGUCGAGGGGCAUCAGGAAGGAAGCUUGCUUUCUUCGCUGGCGACCGGCGCACGGGUGAGUAACACGUAUCCAACCUGCCGAUGACUCGGGGAUAGCCUUUCGAAAGAAAGAUUAAUACCCGAUGGCAUAGUUCUUCCGCAUGGUAGAACUAUUAAAGAAUUUCGGUCAUCGAUGGGGAUGCGUUCCAUUAGCGUGGUGGCGGGGUAACGGCCCACCAAGGCAUCGAUGGAUAGGGGUUCUGAGAGGAAGGUCCCCCACAUUGGAACUGAGACACGGUCCAA